rnacentral:rRNA from 1 species
GUUGGGUAGGGGAGCGUUCUGUAAGCCUGCGAAGGUGGCCUGUGAGGGUUGCUGGAGGUAUCAGAAGUGCGAAUGCUGACAUAAGUAACGAUAAAGCGGGUGAAAAGCCCGCUCGCCGGAAGACCAAGGGUUCCUGUCCAACGUUAAUCGGGGCAGGGUGAGUCGACCCCUAAGGCGAGGCCGAAAGGCGUAGUCGAUGGGAAACGGGUUAAUAUUCCCGUACUUGGUGUUACUGCGAAGGGGGGACGGAGAAGGCUAUGUUGGCCGGGCGACGGUUGUCCCGGUUUAAGCGUGUAGGUGUGUGUUCCAGGUAAAUCCGGUUCACUUUAACACUGAGGCGUGAUGACGAGGCACUACGGUGCUGAAGUAACAAAUGCCCUGCUUCCAGGAAAAGCCUCUAAGCAUCAGGUAACAUCAAAUCGUACCCCAAACCGACACAGGUGGUCAGGUAGAGAAUACCAAGGCGCUUGAGAGAACUCGGGUGAAGGAACUAGGCAAAAUGGUGCCGUAACUUCGGGAGAAGGCACGCUGACACGUAGGUGAAGUGAUUUACUCACGGAGCUGAAGUCAGUCGAAGAUACCAGCUGGCUGCAACUGUUUAUUAAAAACACAGCACUGUGCAAACACGAAAGUGGACGUAUACGGUGUGACGCCUGCCCGGUGCCGGAAGGUUAAUUGAUGGGGUCAGCGCAAGCGAAGCUCCUGAUCGAAGCCCCGGUAAACGGCGGCCGUAACUAUAACGGUCCUAAGGUAGCGAAAUUCCUUGUCGGGUAAGUUCCGACCUGCACGAAUGGCGUAAUGAUGGCCAGGCUGUCUCCACCCGAGACUCAGUGAAAUUGAACUCGCUGUGAAGAUGCAGUGUACCCGCGGCAAGACGGAAAGACCCCGUGAACCUUUACUAUAGCUUGACACUGAACAUUGAGCCUUGAUGUGUAGGAUAGGUGGGAGGCUUUGAAGUGUGGACGCCAGUCUGCAUGGAGCCGACCUUGAAAUACCACCCUUUAAUGUUUGAUGUUCUAACGUGGACCCGUUACCCGGGUUACGGACAGUGUCUGGUGGGUAGUUUGACUGGGGCGGUCUCCUCCUAAAGAGUAACGGAGGAGCACGAAGGUUGGCUAAUCCUGGUCGGACAUCAGGAGGUUAGUGCAAUGGCAUAAGCCAGCUUGACUGCGAGCGUGACGGCGCGAGCAGGUGCGAAAGCAGGUCAUAGUGAUCCGGUGGUUCUGAAUGGAAGGGCCAUCGCUCAACGGAUAAAAGGUACUCCGGGGAUAACAGGCUGAUACCGCCCAAGAGUUCAUAUCGACGGCGGUGUUUGGCACCUCGAUGUCGGCUCAUCACAUCCUGGGGCUGAAGCAGGUCCCAAGGGUAUGGCUGUUCGCCAUUUAAAGUGGUACGCGAGCUGGGUUUAGAACGUCGUGAGACAGUUCGGUCCCUAUCUGCCGUGGGCGCUGGAGAACUGAGGGGGGCUGCUCCUAGUACGAGAGGACCGGAGUGGACGCAUCACUGGUGUUCGGGUUGUCAUGCCAAUGGCACUGCCCGGUAGCUAAAUGCGGAAGAGAUAAGUGCUGAAAGCAUCUAAGCACGAAACUUGCCCCGAGAUGAGUUCUCCCUGAGACUUAGAGUCUCCUGAAGGAACGUUGAAGACGACGACGUUGAUAGGCCGGGUGUGUAAGCGCAGCGAUGCGUUGAGCUAACCGGUACUAAUGAACCGUGAGGCUUAACCUUACAACGCCGAAG